UAUUUGAAUGUUUUGAAUUUUAGGCUUGAAUAUGUUUGAAAAAUAUGUUUGUAUAUAUUUGAUAUUUGAAUGUUUUGAAUUUUAGGUUUGGAAAAUAUGUUUGUGUAUGUUUUAAAUUUGAAUGCUUUCAAUUUUGGGGUUGAAUGCUUUGAAUAUGUUUUGAAUGCUUUGAAAAAUGAAGUCCAAGUCUAAAGAGGAGUUUUUAAAUUAAAUUUUUGGUAGGUUGAAAACAAUAUCUUCAUCACCUUCUACAAAUAAAGAUUCUACAAAUCCAAUUCCAAGUCCAAUCCCAGAUCCAACCCCAGAUUCAACCCCAAAUUCAACCCCAAAUUCAACCCCAAAUUUAACUCCAUACUCAUCGAAUGAUGAUAAUUUUAAUGUUGGUAAUUGUGUUAUUCUUGAUGAGGAUAUUGAGAAGAGAUCUUUAAAGAGGAGAUUGACAUCUGUUGUUUGGAACCAUUUUAAGAAACAAAAAAUAGAUGGAGUAGACAAGGCAGUUUUUAAUAAUUGCAAACGAAAAUUAGGGGGUGAAAGUAAAAAUGGAACCAAACAUUUGCAUGAUCAUAUUAAGAUAUGCUCAUAUAAAGGACAAAAGGACAUACGACAAUCCCUAUUGAAUCUUAAUAGAGAGAAGAAUAAUACAUUGAGUUUAUAUAACUUCGAUCAGGAAGCUGCAAAAAAAGCAUUAGCUAGGAUGAUACUAAUACAUGAAUAUCCUCUCUCAAUAGUUGAGCAUGAAGGUUUUAGGGAAUUUUGUAAUGUCAUCCAACUAUUAUUUAAGAUGGUGUCAAGAAACACAAUAAAGAAGGAGAUUUUGAAAAUUUAUGAGACUGAAGAGUUGAAAACCAUGACAUUAUUGAAUGAGAUCAAAGGAAAGAUUGCCCUUACAACGGACAUGUGGACUUCCAACCACCAAACAAAAGAUUAUAUGGCUGUCAUUGCUCAUUUUGUUGAUGAAAGUUGGGUUUUGCAAAACAAAAUAAUCAGGUUUAUAUAUGUUCCUUCUCCACAUACUUCUGAGAUGCUUCAUGAAGAAAUAAUAGAAUGUCUGUUAGAUUGGAAUAUUGAUCGAAAAUUUUCAUUAGUAACUGUAGAUAAUUGUAGUACCAAUGACUCUAAGGUUAAUAUGCUUGUUGAUAGUUUGUGUGAAAACUUAAUAUUGGAUGGGAGUUUAUUUCAUAUGCGGUGUUGUGCUCAUAUUCUGAAAUUGAUUGUGAAAUAUGGGUUGGCAGUAAUAGGAGAUGGGAUCGUUAGAGUACGUAGUAGUGUGUCUUUUUGGGUGCAUACACAAAAAAGAGGAGAAAUUUGAGGAAACUGCUCGACAGUUAAAUGUUUAUGAUGGUAAGAUGUUGAGUCUUGAUUGUUGUACUAGGUAGAAUUCUACCUAUUUUAUGUUAGCCACUGCAUUAAAGUACAAAGAUGUUUUUUAUCGAUUAAAACAACGAGAACUAAAGUACAAGUGUUUGCCUUUGGAUCAAGAUUGGGUAUUAGCAAAAAAGAUAUGUGAGAAACUGUAAUAUUUCAUCACGUGAUUGAAAUAUUUUCUGGAUCCAAAUAUCCUACUGCUAAUCUUUUUUUCCCAAAAAUUUGUAAAUUGAAAUUGGCUAUUUCUGAGUGGACUAAUUCUGGCAUUCAAGAGAUUAGAGACAUGGCUUCAAAUAUGAUGUCAAAGUUUGAUAAGUAUUGGAAGACAAUUCAUGGGGUAAUGGCCAUAUAGAUCCGUUGAUUGAGUUUUACUUCCCUAGAAUUUAUGGAGAUAGUUUUUUAUUGAAGUGGAAAGAAUUAAAAAAUAUUUUUUCAGAUUUGGAAAUAGAAUAUCAGCUGAAGCAUGAAGGUGAAAGUAAUGAUUAUCACACUAGAAAUUUAAAGGGAACCUCACAUAAUAUCGAAUUUGAUGAUUUUAAUGAUUAUGACUUGUUUAUGUCAAAUUCCAAUAAUAUGAAUCAGAAGCAACAGUUUGAUGCAUAUUUGGAUGAACCUGUCUUACCUCGAACAUCCGAUUUUGAUAUUUUGAGUUGGUGGAAAUUGAAUGGUGUCAAGUAUCCAAUUUUACAAGAAAUUGCAAGAGACAUAUUAGACAUCCUGUUAUCUAGUGUUGCAUCAUAGUCUUCUUUUAGUACCUGUGGUAGGAUUGUAAGCCCACAUCGUCCACAUCGUAACAAACGUCAUCCAAAGACGAUAGAGGUUUUGAUGUGUGCUCAAAAUUGGAUUGCAACUUAAGGUACUAGCACGGAAAAAGAAAUGGUUACACAUUUAGCAACGAUGCAGAAGAUUCUGAUGAAGAUGGCGUGGUGACUAAGGAAUGAAUACAACUAAGGAUGGGAUGAUGCCAAAAAAAUCAAAAGAUUUGAUUGUGAAGUUAUUGAAGAGAGAAGGACGAGUUUUAUUAAAUUUUAAGUUGUAAACUUAUUUGAAUGUAUAAGACGUUUGCCUUUAAUUGACUUCCUUAUUCAAACUUUAUUGAAUUUUAAGUUGUAAAGUUAUUUAA